rnacentral:lncRNA from 1 species
CACUGUUGGGGGAGAUGACGGCUACUUCAGAUCCCUGCCCAUGGCGUCCUGUUUUAUCUCAGUGCCAGCUUGUUUGUACCCUAACCUAGGGAUCGAAUCCAGGUCUCCCACAUUGCAGGCAGAUUCUUUACCAGCUGAGCCACAAGGGAAGCCCAAGAAUACUGGGUAGCCUAUCCCUUCUCCAGGGGAUCUCCCCGACUCAGGAAUCAAACUGGGGUCUCCUGCAUUGCAGGUGGAUUCAUUACAAACUGAGCUAGGAGAGAAGCCAGAGCCUGCUCAGCCAUUAUCUGUUUGAAAAAUUGGGAUCUGAGGAAACGGGAAGCAGCUACAGCUGUUACACAAACCAUCCCCCCUCCUUCACACACAUAUCACCUAUUGGAUGGUAGCACCACGAACCUUCCCUGUGAAAACCCUUUCAUCAUUCAUGAAUGUUGCAACCACAAAGUUCAUAAGGCCCUGUGAUGCCCAGCACCUGGCUUGCUGUCUCUUCUGAGUUCAAGUUCCAGGUGUGCAUGUUCAAGUUCAGGGUUUGUUAUUGGUAGAAUUCUUCCAAAAAGGAUCAAAGAGCCCAGCAGAGACAGGCGUUAGCUGUGACCUGAAACACAAACCUCAUACAUUUCUGCCAGGCAGUCUGGGAAAAGUGUACCUUUCUCCUCCUGCCGAGUGUUGCAAUGGGCAAUUCUGCUACUAUCCCUUUCUUCUACUUUCUGUUGCAUUGCUCCAUCUUCCAGUUUCCUGAGACCAGUGGCGUUCACAGCUCACCCCUCGCCCCGGGGCACUGGGAACUGCAAUGCCGUGAAAAUUUCAGCCUGACAGCACUAUGCUUCCAACCAAAGGUGGAACUCAACUUUUACGACCAUCAGUUCAGAAGAAAUGAAAAUAGAACUCCGUGGGUGCAGCCUUGCGACAGCCUCUGUUUGAGUUUAUAAUCGAAAGGCUCUGGGAAAUUUCGAUUCCUACUCAGCAGAAUGGCUCAUCAGUGUAACAUUAUCCUUUCAGAAGUACAUCACACAGGGCUUCCCAGAUGGCUCAGUGGGAAAGAAUCUGUCUGCAAUGCAGGAGACAUGGGUUCAGUCUCCCAUCUGGGAAGAUCCCACAUGCCUCAGAGCAGCUAAGAUUUUGAUCCUGUGCUCUAGAGUCCAGGGCCCACAACCACUGAAGCCCUAUGGCCCGUGCUCCGCAAUGAGAAGCCAAUGCAAAGAGACGCCUGUACACCGCAACUGGAGGUCGCCACAACUAGAGAAAAACCUGCGCAGCAACGAAGACCCAGUGCAGCUAAAAAUAAAUGAAUAAAUAAAUAAAUUUUUUAAAGAAGAAGAAAUACAUCACAUACAUCUGCCCACACCAUCAGCUUCUUUCCCAGGAAGGCCCUUCUGGGUAGUGUCCAGAGAGGUGGGGGCAGGUGUGUGUGCACACGCCAUUGUCCACAAGGCCAGGCUGCUGGGUUCAAGAGCAAGGUCAUUCAGGUGGAGAAAGCUGCCUCCCCCACCAGCACACUGUCCGAGGAAUCUCGGGCCUGCGGUUCCCACAUCUGCUUUAUCACGAGAAGCUAGAAUUCCAGAUUUGAUCUGAAAUUUCCCAAUGUCUAAAUCUUAG